rnacentral:rRNA from 1 species
CAGUAGCCGCGGUAAUGCGAAGGGUGCAAGCGUUAAUCGGAAUUACUGGGCGUAAAGCGUGCGUAGGCGGUGAGUUAAGUCUGCUGUGAAAUCCCCGGGCUCAACCUGGGAAUGGCAGUGGAUACUGGCUCGCUAGAGUGUGUCAGAGGAUGAUGGAAUUCCCGGUGUAGCGGUGAAAUGCGUAGAGAUCGGGAGGAACACCGAUGGCGAAGGCAGCCCCCUGGGCCAAUACUGACGCUCAUGCACGAAAGCGUGGGGAGCAAACAGGAUUAGAUACCCGAGUAGUCCCUGUCUCUUAUAC